UUUUACCAAACACUUUUUUACAAACCGCUAAUACAAUCUGCUGGUCAAACUCGCUAAUACAAUCCGCUAUUUGAUAACUGCUAACACAAUCCGCUACUGCUAACCGCUAACCGCUAAUAACCAAACAAGCCCAAUAAAAGAAAAUAAAGUGGAG